GAGCUGAAAUGAACUGAACUGAACUGAACGGAAUAGAGCAAUUGGCAUUUGUUACCAAGAGAUUUUCGAAACAAAUCAGAUACAGAUACGAAACAUAGAAAUCUGUUUACCGAGUACUUAUGUCAUUCAUGAGAAUGUAUAUCUGACGUUUGCGGCCGCAGAAUUUCGAGGUGCUGCUGCUUCUGCUGCCGAUGGAUGAUGAUGAUGAUGAUGACGAUGACGCCCAUGAGCAAUGCCAAUAGCAUGCGAUACACGGUAUAUAUUAUAUAGUUUAAAAGGUUUGUCUUUGCCAAAAUGAUUGAUUGCCGCCCAAGUAGUGGAGGUCGUUGAGAAAUGUAUCUCGCAGAUACAAAUGCAGUACAGUGACCAGACUGUUUAUAAUUUACACGUUGUUUCAUUUUCGUUACGUUCGGCAUUUUCUGUAAAUCCAUUUCACUUGAGCUGCGCUGCGUACAAUUUCCUUCUCUCGAUCAUUUUUGAUGUUGGACCACUUGACUUGGACUUUUGAUGUUUUUACUUUUGGCCUGGUCUAAAACAAAAACCGAGGAUCUCUGGCACUCGCUCUUGUCGCUCACUGAUCUGCAGCAUUUAAUUUCAUUGU
ensembl:ncRNA lncRNA:CR44474 long non-coding RNA:CR44474